CCCCACUCGCUCGGGAAAUGGGAUCUUUUUUUUUUUAAACAGUGAGCAGCCUAUGUGUUAAUUCCAAUAAGGCCUACUUACCACAAAUCCAAUAUAAAUUAGAUAGGGCUCUCCACUUAGAAGUAGCCGACAGGUCAAACCAUACCUCUCUUAAAUUGGUGUAGUUAGCAAAGGUUUCAAAAUAAAUACAAAGUCCUGCUGUGUAACCCACAAUGUACCAACACACUCUAGGCACCUGUGUGCUCACCUCUCUUUACACACAAAAAUAAAAAUUAUACAUACAAAAAGAAGUUUGGUGGUGUUUGGCUGGAUUUCAAGUAAUUUGUCACUCUAGGAGACAAAUAAACAUGGCCGAAGCCUAGUGCAAUACAGUACGGUCUAAUGUAUAGACAGAUAUAUGGUUCUAGUGAUGUAGUACUCACAAAGAUGGAGCCAAAAUAAUAAAGUAAAG